GAUCAUGGCUCAGAACGUACGCUGGCGGCACGCCUAACACAUGCAAGUCGAACGAAGUAGCAAUACUUAGUGGCAGACGGGUGAGUAACAUGUAGGUAUCUGCCCUUUGGCCUGGAAUAACACGAGGAAACUUGUGCUAAUACCGGAUAAGUCUUUACGGAGAAAGCUUUAUGCACCAUUGGAUGAGCCUGCACUUGAUUAGUUUGUUGGUGGGGUAAUGGCCUACCAAGACUGUGAUCAAUAGCUGAUUUGAGAGGAUGAUCAGCCACAUUGGGACUGAGACACGGCCCAAACUCCUACGGGAGGCAGCAGUGGGGAAUCUUGCACAAUGGAGGAAACUCUGAUGCAGCGAUGCCGCGUGAGUGAAGAAGGCCCUUGGGUUGUAAAGCUCUUUCGUCGGGGAAGAAAAUGACUGUACCCGAAUAAGAAGGUCCGGCUAACUUCGUGCCAGCAGCCGCGGUAAUACGAAGGGACCUAGCGUAGUUCGGAAUUACUGGGCUUAAAGAGUUCGUAGGUGGUUGAAAUAGUUGGUGGUGAAAUCCCAGAGCUUAACUCUGGAACUGCCAUCAAAACUUUUCAGCUAGAGUAUGAUAGAGGAAAGCAGAAUUUCUAGUGUAGAGGUGAAAUUCGUAGAUAUUAGAAAGAAUACCAAUUGCGAAGGCAGCUUUCUGGAUCAUUACUGACACUGAGGAACGAAAGCAUGGGUAGCGAAGAGGAUUAGAUACCCUCGUAGUCCAUGCCGUAAACGAUGUGUGUUAGACGUUGGAAAUUUAUUUUCAGUGUCGCAGGGAAACCGAUAAACACACCGCCUGGGGAGUACGACCGCAAGGUUAAAACUCAAAUGAAUUGACGGGGACCCGCACAAGUAGUGGAGCAUGUGGUUUAAUUCGAAGAUACGCGCAGAACCUUACCAACACUUGACAUGUUCGUCGCGACUCUAAGAGAUUAGAGUUUUCGGUUCGGCCGGACGAAACACAGGUGCUGCAUGGCUGUCGUCAGCUCGUGUCGUGAGAUGUUGGGUUAAGUCCCGCAACGAGCGCAACCCUCACUUUUAGUUGCCAUCAUUAAGUUGGGCACUCUGAAAGAACUGCCAGUGAUAAGCUGGAGGAAGGUGGGGAUGACGUCAAGUCCUCAUGGCCCUUACGUGUUGGGCUACACACGUGCUACAAUGGUAUCUACAACAGGAAGCAAGACUGCGAAGUUAAGCAAAUCCCUAAAAGAUACCUCAGUUCGGAUUGCACUCUGCAACUCGAGUGCAUGAAGCUGGAAUUACUAGUAAUCGUGGAUCAGCGUGCCACGGUGAAUGCGUUCCCGGGUCUUGUACACACCGCCCGUCACACCAUGGGAGUUGGUUCUACCUUNAAGGCAAGGUUUUAAACCCUUGACCACGGUAUAGUCAGCGACUGGGGU
rnacentral:rRNA from 1 species